rnacentral:rRNA from 1 species
GACGAACGCUGGCGGCGUGCUUAACACAUGCAAGUCGAGCGGUAAGGCCCUUUCGGGGGUACACGAGCGGCGAACGGGUGAGUAACACGUGGGUGACCUGCCCUUAGCUCUGGGAUAAGCCUGGGGAAACUGGGUCUAAUACCGGAUAUGACUCCAUGACGCAUGUUGUGGGGUGGAAAGCCUUGUGCGGCGUAGGGAUCGGGGCCCGCGGCCUAU